UACUCAUUGGAAAUAUUAAUUCAUCAUUCCAUACACUUCUGAUAAAACUCUGGAGGAUUUGAACUCAAAUAGAGUUUGCUUUUGGUGUGGCAGGUGGAGUAGCUGCCACAAGUUCAUAUGGACUAAACUUAUGAUCUCAACCAGUCGGUCUGAGAAGAUACCAUAUUCCAGAGAAGGCUUGAUGACUUCUACAUGGAUAACCCAGCAUAAGUUGUUUCUCUGAUUCAGAAGAGGCCAAGAUCAAGCUUGAUGUGGACUCCAAGUGUGCUCCGAAAGAUGAAGGUGAGAAGCUGAAAUUGAAAGGUGUCAAUCAAGUGGCUUGGGAAGGAUUGGUAGGCUUUAGCUAGCUAAAACCUUGUAUUCAGUUUUUGUUCUUCAUAGUAGACAUUUUUAAUCGGUUGUAGGCCCGUGGUUUUUUAUCUCUUCGGAUGUUUUCCACAUUAAAAUUUGGUGUCAUUGUCUCUUUCUCUCAUUCUACUUUUUGAUUUAUUUUCAGUUUUUAAUAUCAUUGAUUACUUAGGUAUAUAUGUUGAAUGGAAGAAAAAUGAGUUGA